CAGGGUCUCACUAUGUUACCCAGGCUGGUCUUGAACUCCUGUGCUCAAGUGAUUAUCUUGCCUUGGCCUUCCAAAGUCUUGGGAUUUCAGGCAUGAGCCACCAUGCCUGGGCACAAGAAGCUUUUAUGGACUGCAAUUUCAAAAAAAAAUAUGUUCCCACAUUAGUCUGUGAAACAUCUUUCAUAACACUAAUUACACCAACUUGAAAUUCUCAUUUCCACUUUGAUUUGCUUGUUUCUAUUACUCAUUAGAUCAAAUGGAAUAACUUACAAUUCUUAGCACAAUGCCCAGAACAAACUUGUUUCAACAAAUGUAAUAGUCCUUCUCUUUUAUUCCCCAUAUCCCCAACAGUUCUUAAUAUCAACUUUAGAUUUUAUCUAUAGAAUAGUUUAUUGCUAGAAAGAUUAAUGAGUUGAAAAUGUUUCAUUUUAUAAUUGAAUUUAUGUAGGAAAACAGUAGCAGGCAAAAUUAUACUAUUUUUGAGUCUUUUAAUUCAAAAGAUGAGUAGUACAAUGCAAAAUGCCUUGAUUUGGUGUUUAUAUAUUUUCUUUCCCAUAUUUUAAAAAAUGCUCCAAUUCUUAGAUCUCUCAAAACCUUGCAUUACAAAAGCCAAAUUUAACCCAUUUGUGAUUGUAAUAUAAUGUUCAACUGUUGUAUUAUCUAUACAACUCCAAAGAAUGGAUUGACCUCACCCCCUGUGCUCCUGCCUACAAAUUGCCAUUUACUUUUAUUUGGGACAUUUGUAUAUAGUUUUAUCUAUGUUUCAUUAUAUCAUUAGCAGUUUAUACCUUUAGAGUCUAAAAUCUUUGACUCAAGAGUCUAUGGAAAAAUGGAGAAAGAUUUAUAUAUUAGAUUAUUAUCAACUAACUCUUCAUAGUUGGCUGAAGCCUUAAUAACAAUAGGUUAGUCAGCAUUUGAAUAAUAAUUCUGGAAAAGAUUAGGAAAACAUAAAUUGUGUUUACACGAUUGUGCUCAUGCACUAGCUAGUACCGAAGAGCUGUAGUGAAAAUCUUUUAAAUGUAAAUUGGCUCAGCUACCUGCACAUGUGUGACCAGUUUGAAAUCAGUGAAAUGCAGUAUAAUGAGAUCAUCCUUGGAAUUCCCGUCCCCCACGUUGAAGGCUGGUCACAAUGCUCUGGGUCUAUGGGCAUUGGAUCUCACAGAAACAUUGAUGAAAUCAUUUUUGCUUAUGAUGCUUCAUUAAAAAAAUGGCCUCUUUAGAAAACUUAGACCCAGUUUGAGUGCCUGAACUCUGUUUAUCCUUAGGGUAACAGUUUUACCUCUGACCAUUCAGGUAGAUCAGGUUGUCAACUGCAAAUACUCUUUUCCCAAAGUAUAAAGAGUACAUCCUCAUAUUUAUCUGUACUCACAAGAGGAGAAAAAUUUCUUAAGAAUUAUAUUUAAACAGAUAUUCUCACCUGCCAUAAACAAACAGGUUUAAGUAUGUCAUAUUAUUGCAAAAAGCCUUUUUUUUUAAUGGAAAAGAUAGAGACAGUCAAAAAAAAUAAAGCUAAUCAAGCGGGCCCCCAUUUUGGGUGGUAGCCCAGAACAGCAGAGGAAGCAGGUUUAGAAACACAGCAGGCAGAGACACAGAUAAUCAUCAUCAGAACAGGCAAGUGCAGAUUUACCCUGAAGCUAAUGAUGCUUAAACUAUGGAGCCCUCCUAUCUAACUGCUGAGAGCGCAGGGAGUUUCUGGAAAUUGUGGAAGGUUCUAGGUAAAUAGGGUAAACAACAUUGGAAGCAACUCUGAUAAAUAACCUUGAAAUAUCUUGGAUGAAAUUAAUCUCUAUCUCCAAAGCUCUAGUAAUUGUUGAUUCUAAAUACUUACUUUGGAACCUCAUUAUGAGUUUGUAGUUAUAUAUUUUUUUCUUAGAAAACCUCUACCUCAAAUUAUAUCAGUUUCAGGCCUCACAGAAUGUGGACCCUUCCUUACCAAACAGAAAAGGCUAAAGGAGUUUCAUUCCAUUUCCUUUUAGUUCCCAUUACUGAUAUUUUCACUUGUAGCUUGGAGGUCACGGUCUGUGUUUUGGGAGCUACCGUUAGAUAUAUGGUCUUUCUUCACUAAUUUAUUGGUAUUUCUGUUCAAGAAUCAAUAGUAAGAUAAAAAUAAUCUGUAAACUUACUUGAAAUAGUGGAAUUUAAUUUGACUGGGGGGAUCAGUCCUAACAAUGUCAUUUUAGAAAAACAUAAUUAUCUUCACAUUUUAUUCAUAUAAUAGAUGAGAUGUGAAAUGAGCUUCAUGGAUGAUAAACGCACUGAUAGCUGCUAAGUUUUACACUGUAUAAACAAGAAUUGAGCUGCUUCUAUAGAAAACCAUAAAAUUUUAGUUUAGAUGCUAGAUAUGGAGACAAUAAAAAUACUCUAAAUGAAAGAAGGUUAUUAAUCCUAUAAUGAGAUCAGAGUAUCAUAUGCAUUUAUGUACCUGUAAAUAGAAGAAGAAAUGAGUUUGUCUCCACACACAAUUAGAGGUAUAUGCCAAACUUAUAUUUUAAAUAUUAAAGUCAAUUAUCCUUUGGGAAAAAUCACUUGUAAAGGUUAUCAUAAUUAUAAAUAGUUUUAUUUUUGUGACAUGGAAAUAAUUACAUUUUCUAAGUCAUGAAAAAUACCAAAUAGAGAAUACUGAACUUCAAUAGAAGAUACAGAGGCAAACAUCAGUUGUGAUUUUGCACAUUUAAAAAAGAAAUAAAAAGAAAUGUGUUUAUUUGAAAAUAGUUCUAAACAAGAAAAGAUCAGAACCCCACAAAUUCUAAAGCAUUGUAUUAGUCAUUAGCUUCAGUGGAAAUAUAAACUUGAACUCUGCAAAGACAGCAACAAGAGACUGUAGAACAUAUUUAGAUGUAGAAUACAUUAGAAAAGUGACUUGGUCAGGCUCGGUGGCUCACGCCUGCAAUCCCAGCACUUUGGGAGGCUGAGGCAAGUGGAUCACUUGAGGCCAGGAGUUCGAGACCAGCCUGGCCAACGUGGUGAAACCCCGUUUCUACUAAAAAUACAAAAAUUAGCCGGGCAUGGUGGUGGGCACCUGUAAUUCCAGCUACUUGGGAGGCUGAGGCAGGAGAAUCACUUGAACCAGGGGGGUCGGAGGUUGCAGUGAGGCAAGAUUGUGCCACUGCACUCCAGCCUGGGAAACAGAGUGAGACUCCGUCUCAAAAAAAAAAAAAAAAAAAAAAAGAAAAGAAAAGAAAAGUGACUUAUUUUGCCCAUUUAAGAAAAAUGCAGAUUAGCAUUUAUCUUCCUUGAUCUCAUAUGACCACAUGCUCCUCAUAUGUUAUGAAAUUCCAGGAGAUAAAAGCAAAAUGCGAAUAUCACUUCAAUGUUUUCAUUGUGGUAGAUGGGUAUGCCUAACGUGGUGUUAAAGAGUUCUCAGUAGUGUUGUAGAUGAUCUCCAAGCCCCUGUCUAUCACUGGGAUAAAGACUACCUCAAUAAUAAAUUUUAAAAUGCAUUAACUUGAAUGUAUGAUAUACUAUUUUCAUAUUGCCUAAAGGAUUUGACUUCUGCUGUCAAUUCUAAUUAAAAUUUAAAAAGCGGGCAAGAUGCAGAUACUGGUUUUGAUAAGCCACAAGAUGAAAGCUAUAAUCCUCUCAUCCUCAUUCAGCUAUCCAAUUAAUAACUGGAUUACAGUUUCUCUGAAAAAAA
rnacentral:lncRNA from 1 species